rnacentral:rRNA from 1 species
UACGUAGGGGGCAAGCGUUGUCCGGAUUUAUUGGGCGUAAAGAGCGUGUAGGCGGCCAGGUAGGUCAGCUGUGAAAACUCGAGGCUCAACCUCGAGAUGUCGGCUGAAACCAUCUGGCUAGAGUCCGGAAGAGGAGAAUGGAAUUCCCGGUGUAGCGGUGAAAUGCGCAGAUAUCAGGAGGAACACCGGUGGCGAAGGCGCCACUCUGGGCCGAAACUGACGCUGAGGAGCGAAAGCGUGGGUAGCAAACAGG